CGGGGACCCGCGGCCGCGCGCACGCUCACUCCCGCCCGGGACGCUAGAGCUGGUCCCGGGCGAGCGGCGCUCGGGCGCGUGGGAGUGAGGAGCCCGGACGCCUCACACUCGAGAAGCUACGGUUAAAAGGACUCCAGAUAAUUACAACCUAUGUUAUCCCACCUAUCUGUUCCUAAGGAUAGGAUUUUCUGCCCUGGUCUUUGACCUCCUGAUCACUGUGGGCCUAAGAGUUCUGUUUGGCCUGCUCCUAAAGACUUCAAGCCUUGGACUUGCUGUGGAUGUGAACCAGUCUAGCUGAUGUGGACACCUCCUGUCUCUUCAACAGUCUGACAACCAGCUGCUUCUGAUGGAUUCCCCAUUGCCUGAAUUCCCUUUUUGCUUUUAACGAGCACUUCAGCCUUCUUAGGUCCCUAACAAUGCCCCAGAGUCAGCAGGAAGUAAAAUGGGAAAGCAUAUGUUGCCCCUUUUCCCUGAUUGAGAUGCUAAGUCAAAAAGGAAACUCCCUUAUAUAGGGGACAAUAUGACAACAGAAGCAAAUGUCAUUCCCUCAGAAAAAUCUGUCAGCUAAUGGCAGGACCUGUUAACACCCCUUUGAGCCCCUAACAGGCAGGACUCAAUCCUGAGUCCUGCCACUGGUACUUUGAGAAGGGGGAAUGAAGGGACUAUACCGCACCACCACGUUUUAGCAGCCAUGACAGGCUAACAGGUGCUUGCCUGACCUUGCUGGACAUGUCAUGGUCACCAGGAGGUCAGAUGCCCACCUUGUUGCAAGGAACCAAUCAAAAGUUAGCUGACAGAGCUGUGCUUUACAGCUCGGCUCUGGGUGUGUUUUACAGACAAGUGCACAACAGCGAUGUGAAAAGCAUAGCAACCGCCCAAGGAGGGCCUAUGGGUCAUAACAACCAGUUGACCAAUCAACACCGGGUAGGCCAUCCAAGCCUGGAAGUACACGAAUCCUGAGACAACACUCCCCUUAGGCUGCCCUAUAAGAUCCCUUCCUCGUGGUUUCUCAGGAUCGUUCUCCAACCAUCUGCCAUAGUGGAGAGAUGAAGGGCCCGAAUUAAUGGAGUUAGUUUGUUAAACAACAGCAAUAAAAGACACAUUGCUUUUGCAUCGAAAUGGGCCUGUUGGUGAUUUGGGGGUUUCAGAAUUUGGGCACAACUGUACGCCAAGUGACUAAGCAGCAUUCAUUCAUGGCCUCUGCUUUGGUUCUUGCCUCUGGGUUCUGCCUCCAGGUUCCUGCCUUUGAGUUCCUGCCCAGAUUUACCUUCACAAUGGAC
rnacentral:lncRNA from 1 species